AUUGAACGCUGGCGGCAGGCCUAACACAUGCAAGUCGAGCGGAUGAAGGGAGCUUGCUCCUGGAAUCAGCGGCGGACGGGUGAGUAAUGCCUAGGAAUCUGCCUGGUAGUGGGGGUUAACGUCUGGAAACGGGCGCUAAUACCGCAUACGUCCUGAGGGAGAAAGUGGGGGAUCUUCGGACCUCACGCUAUCAGAUGAGCCUAGGUCGGAUUAGCUAGUUGGUGGGGUAAAGGCCUACCAAGGCGACGAUCCGUAACUGGUCUGAGAGGAUGAUCAGUCACACUGGAACUGAGACACGGUCCAGACUCCUACGGGAGGCAGCAGUGGGGAAUAUUGGACAAUGGGCGAAAGCCUGAUCCAGCCAUGCCGCGUGUGUGAAGAAGGUCUUCGGAUUGUAAAGCACUUUAAGUUGGGAGGAAGGGCAGUAAGUUAAUACCUUGCUGUUUUGACGUUACCAACAGAAUAAGCACCGGCUAACUUCGUG
rnacentral:rRNA from 1 species